GACGUAGGGCGCGAGCGUUGUCCGGAUUUAUUGGGCGUAAAGAGCUCGUAGGCGGCUUGUCGCGUCGACUGUGAAAACCCGCGGCUCAACCGUGUGGUCUGCAGUCGAUACGGGCAGGCUAGAGUUCGGUAGGGGAGACUGGAAUUCCUGGUGUAGCGGUGAAAUGCGCAGAUAUCAGGAGGAACACCGGUGGCGAAGGCGGGACUCUGGGCCGAUACUGACGCUGAGGAGCGAAAGCGUGGGGAGCGAACAGG
rnacentral:rRNA from 1 species